AACGUAGGACGCAAGCGUUAUCCGGAGUUACUGGGCGUAAAGCGCGGGCAGGCGGCUCGAUGCGUCUGAUGUGAAAUCUCCUCGCUCAACGGGGAGAGGCCAUUGGAAACGGUCGAGCUGGAGGGCAGUAGAGGCAGGCGGAAUUCCGGGUGGAGUGGUGAGAUGCGUAGAGAUCCGGAGGAACACCAGAGGCGAAGGCGGCCUGCUGGGCUGCACCUGACGCUGAGCCGCGAAAGCGUGGGGAGCAAACAGG
rnacentral:rRNA from 1 species